rnacentral:rRNA from 1 species
CAAUAGCGUAUAUUUAAGUUGUUGCAGUUAAAAAGCUCGUAGUCGGAUUUUGGCUGAGAACGAUCGGUCCGCCGUUAGGUGUGCACUGAUUGGUCUCAGCUUCCUGGUGAGGAGGUGUGCUUCACGGCCACUUAGUCACCGUGGUUACUUUGAAAAAAUUAGAGUGUUCAAAGCGGGCUUACGCUUGAAUAUAUUAGCAUGGAAUAACACCAUAGGACUCCUGUCCUAUUUCGUUGGUCACGGGACGGGAGCAAUGAUUAAGAGGAACAGUUGGGGGCAUUCGUAUUUCAUUGUCAGAGGUGAAAUUCUUGGAUUUAUGAAAGACGAACUUCUGCGAAAGCAUUUGCCAAGGAUGUUUUCAUUGA